AGAGUUUGAUUCUGGCUCGGGACGAACGCUGGCGGUGUGCUUAAUACAUGCAAGUCGAGCGGACUUGAGGGGCUUGCUCCUUAAAGUAGCGGCGGACGGGUGAGUAACGCGCGAGCAACCUGCCUAUAUCUGGGGAAUAACACAGAGAAAUUUGUGCUAAUACCGCAUAUGACCACAGUAAGGCAUCUUACAGGGGUGAAAGAUUUUAUCGGAUAUAGAUGGGCUCACGUACCAUUAGAUAGUUGGUAGUGUAACGGACUACCAAGUCGACGAUGGUUAGCCGACCUGAGAGGGUGAUCGGCCACAUUGGAACUGAGAUACGGUCCAGACUCCUACGGGAGGCAGCAGUAGGGAAUAUUGGGCAAUGGGCGCAAGCCUGACCCAAGCAACACCGCGUGAAUGAUGAAGGUCUUCGGAUUGUAAAGUUCUGUGAUGGGGGACGAAGAAAGUGACGGUACCCCAAGAGCAAGCCACGGCUAACUACGUGCCAGCCGCCGC
rnacentral:rRNA from 1 species